rnacentral:rRNA from 1 species
UGGGGAAUAUUGGACAAUGGGCGCAAGCCUGAUCCAGCCAUGCCGCGUGAGUGAUGAAGGCCCUAGGGUUGUAAAGCUCUUUCACCGGUGAAGAUAAUGACGGUAACCGGAGAAGAAGCCCCGGCUAACUUCGUGCCAGCAGCCGCGGUAAUACGAAGGGGGCUAGCGUUGUUCGGAUUUACUGGGCGUAAAGCGCACGUAGGCGGACUUUUAAGUCAGGGGUGAAAUCCCGGGGCUCAACCCCGGAACUGCCUUUGAUACUGGAAGACUGGAGUAUGGUAGAGGUGAGUGGAAUUCCGAGUGUAGAGGUGAAAUUCGUAGAUAUUCUGAGGAACACCAGUGGCGAAGGCGGCUAACUGGACCAUUACUAACGCUGAGGUGCGAAAACGUGGGGAGCAAACAGG